GAUGAACGCUGGCGGCGUGCCUAAUACAUGCAAGUCGAGCGAACGGGCGAUAAUCUUGCUUCGCUGAUGUUAGCGGCGGACGUGUGAGUAACACGUGUAUAACCUACCUGUAAUACUGGUAUAACUUCGGGAAACCGGAUCUAAUAGCGUAGGAGAUUUUGAACCACAUUGUUCAUAAGUGAAUUACGGUGUUUCUGUCUCUUAUAGAGGGAUCCGCGCUGCAUUAGCUAGUUGUUAAGGUAACGGCUUACCAAGGCAACUAUGCAUAGCCGACCGAAGAGGCGGGUAGGCGACCUUGGAACGGAGCCACGGACAAGACUCCUACGGGAGGCAGCAGUAGGCAACCUGACGCAACAGGCGAAAGCAUGACGCAGCAACGCCGAGUGAGUGACAAAGGCCUUCGGAUCGUAAAAACGGCCUACUAGGGAAAAACCUCUGUCUAAGUAAAUGUACACAUAUUGACGGUAACGAAUAAGAAAGCAACGGCUAACUACGUG
rnacentral:rRNA from 1 species